rnacentral:rRNA from 1 species
CAAUAGCGUAUAUUUAAGUUGCUGCGGUUAAAAAGCUCGUAGUUGGAUUUCGGGUGGGAAUGGCCGGUCCGCCGUUUCGGUGUGCACUUGCUACGCCCACCUUGCUGCCGGGGACGUGCUCUUGAGUUCACGCUCGGGACACGGAGUCGGCGAGGUUACUUUGAGUAAAUUAGAGUGUUCAAAGCAGGCCUACGCUCUGAAUACAUUAGCAUGGAAUAACACGAUAGGACUCUGGCCUAUCUUGUUGGUCUGUAGGACCGGAGUAAUGAUUAAGAGGGACAGUCGGGGGCAUUCGUAUUUCAUUGUCAGAGGUGAAAUUCUUGGAUUUAUGAAAGACGAACUACUGCGAAAGCAUUUGCCAAGGAUGCUUUCAUUAA